GAUGAACGCUAGCGGCAGGCUUAAUACAUGCAAGUCGUGGGGGCAGUCGAGGGGUGUAGCAAUACACUCGCUGGCGACCGGCAAACGGGUGCGGAACACGUACGCAAACCUACCCAAAACGUGGGGGAUAGGACCCGGGGAAACCCGGAUUAAAUACCUCGUAACAUAAUGGAGUGGCAUCAACUUUAUUAUUAUAGCUCCGGCGGUUUUGGAUGGCGUGCGCCUGAUUAGGUAGUUGGCGGGGUAACGGCCCACCAAGCCUGCGAUCAGUAACUGGUGUGAGAGCACGACCAGUCACACGGGCACUGAGACACGGG
rnacentral:rRNA from 1 species